rnacentral:rRNA from 1 species
CUUAAGCAUAUCAAUAAGCGGAGGAAAAGAAACCAACAGGGAUUGCCUUAGUAACGGCGAGUGAAGCGGCAACAGCUCAAAUUUGAAAUCUGGCCCCCGGGUCCGAGUUGUAAUUUGCAGAGGAAGCUUUUGGCGAGGCGCCUUCCGAGUUCCCUGGAUACGGGACGCCAUAGAGGGUGAGAGCCCCGUACGGUCUGGUGCCGAGCCUCUGUAAAGCUCCUUCGACGAGUCGAGUAGUUUGGGAAUGCUGCUCUAAAUGGGAGGUAAACUCCUUCUAAAGCUAAAUACUGGCCAGAGACCGAUAGCGCACAAGUAGAGUGAUCGAAAGAUGAAAAGCACUUUGAAAAGAGAGUUAAAAAGCACGUGAAAUUGUUGAAAGGGAAGCGCUUGUGACCAGACUUGCGCCUGGCAGCUUAGCCGUCCUUCUGGGCGGUGUACUCUGCCGGCUCAGGCCAGCAUCAGUUUCGGGCAGGGGAGAAAUGCGGCGGGAAUGUGGCUCUUCGGAGUGUUAUAGCCCGCCGUUAUGCCCUGCCGGGGACUGAGGUUCGCGCUCUGCACGGAUGCUGGCGUAAUGGUUAUCAGCGACCCGUCUUGAAACACGGACCAAGGAGUCAUCCUCAUAUGCGAGUGUUAGGGUGCAAAACCCCUACGCGAAAUGAAAGUGAACGGAGGUGAGAGCUUCGGCGCAUCAUCGACCGAUCCUGAUGUUCUCGGAUGGAUUUGAGUAUGAGCAUAUGGGGCUGGACCCGAAAGAAGGUAAAUUACUCACUAUUUCUUUUCUCCCCUAUCUAAAUAUGGGCGAGCUAUAGUACUAGUGUAUAGUAGUAGUAUGCCAGGUUGCUUUGUUUUCCUGGUGGAGUUAAAUCUCCCGAUAGCAAGACUUUGGAAGUCUGGCUUGCAUUUAUUAGUGGAAUAUUUAUGCUAACCCGGUUAUUUUCUAGGUGAACUAUGCUUGGAUAGGGUAAAGCCAGAGGAAACUCUGGUGGAGGCUCGCAGCGGUUCUGACGUGCAAAUCGAUCGUCAAAUCUGAGCAUGGGGGCGAAAGACUAAUCGAACCUUCUAGUAGCUGGUUUCCGCCGAAGUUUCCCUCAGGAUAGCAGUGUUGAUCUCAGUUUUAUGAGGUAAAGCGAAUGAUUAGGGACUCGGGGGCGCUUAUUAGCCUUCAUCCAUUCUCAAACUUUAAAUAUGUAAGAAGCCCUUGUUACUUUAGUGAACGGGGGCAUUCGAAUGUGCAACACUAGUGGGCCAUUUUUGGUAAGCAGAACUGGCGAUGCGGGAUGAACCGAUCGCGAGGAUAAGGUGCCAGAGUAGACGCUCAUCAGACACCACAAAAGGUUGUUAUCACAUCUAGACAGCAGGACGGUGGCCAUGGAAGUCGGAAUCCGCUAAGGACUGUGUAACAACUCACCUGCCGAAUGUGAUAGCCCUGAAAAUGGAUGGCGCGUCAAGCGUCUCACCCAUACCUCGCCUUCAGGGUAGAAACGAUGC